AACGCGAAGAACCUUACCUGGGCUCGAACGGCUUCGGAAAGCCGGUGGAAACACUGGUUCUCCCGCAAGGGAUCGGAGUCGAGGUGCUGCAUGGCUGUCGUCAGCUCGUGUCGUGAGAUGUUGGGUUAAGUCCCGCAACGAGCGCAACCCUUGUCCUGUGUUGGCAUGCCGAAAGGCGCAACUCUCAGGAGACCGCCAGCGAUAAGUUGGAGGAAGGUGGGGAUGACGUCAAGUCAUCAUGGCCUUUAUGUCCAGGGCUACACACGUGCUACAAUGGGCGGUACAAAGCGCUGCAAACCCGCGAGGGGGAGCUAAUCGCAAAAAACCGUUCUCAGUUCGGAUCGCAGGCUGCAACUCGCCUGCGUGAAGCUGGAAUCGCUAGUAAUGGCAUAUCAGAACGAUGCCGUGAAUACGUUCCCGGGCCUUGUACACACCGGUAUCUC
rnacentral:rRNA from 1 species